GGCCUAUCUCCCUGGGGGUGGGGGGUCGCUUUUCUCCUAAGCCAGGGUAAGAGGCCAAGGCAAGCCCUUGAGGGUCACCAGGACUUUCAUGAGCUGGACAGCCUUGUUUUCUUACCACAGAUAUUU